CCUUCAUAUAAUCAAAUUUAUAAGCUUUCAUGUUUCAAUUUGAGAAAGUAAAAUACAAAUAUGUUUGGUAUAAAGACUAGAUUUUUCUUUUAGUACUUGUUAACUACAUGAAGACUUUUUUUUUUUUUUUCUGUUACAUUGGGAGGAAAACUUGGGUGUCAAGUAGGGGGGAAGGGGAAGGCCACCACUGUGGUACCUGUUCUCGAUAACUAUAUGAAGACUUGAGGGAUCCCUCAAAUAACCUUAUUUGAGGGACAUCCUUGUAGGACCCACUCUAUAUUGUAUUUCACUAAUCUAACUUGUCUAUUUUGUAGAUACUCAUUCAAAUAUCAUCUCUCUACAAAAAAUCAUUUGACUACUCAAUUGAAUUAUUGAAAUUUUAGUACUUUCUUGAAGCACCGUGUUCAUUGAAAUUUUUCCAA
rnacentral:lncRNA from 1 species